rnacentral:rRNA from 1 species
UACGGAGGGUGCGAGCGUUAAUCGGAAUUACUGGGCGUAAAGCGCGCGUAGGCGGAGCGAACAGUCCGGCCUGAAAGCCCCCGGCUCAACCGGGGAGAGUGGCUGGAAACUGCCGUUCUUGAGGGCGAGAGAGGAGGGUGGAAUUCCUGGUGUAGCGGUGAAAUGCGUAGAUAUCUGGAGGAACACCGGUGGCGAAGGCGGCAUCCUGGACCAAUACUGACACUGAGGAGCGAAAGCCAGGGGAGCAAACGGG